GGGCAAGCUUGUGGAGUGUGGCCCUGCACGGUGCCCCAGAGGUAGAAGGCAGCCACCUAUCCCUUACUGCCUUUCCUGCUUCACUACGUCCUCCCUGCCCAGCAACUUUCCCAAAACUGUUCUAAUAAAUUGAGAAGGAAAGUAAUCCGUGGCUAAGAAUAACCAGCUGCCAGGGAGCAGAAAUGUGAGCCAGCAAGGUGGGUACAGCCUGGCCCCGUGACCUGUGAGUCAGGUCACCUGAUCCCUUUAAGACAUAUACCCACACUCCCUGAGUGUGUACAGCGUGAGCCCAGAGCCGUGAGCAGGAGGAUCCCAGUACCUGUCUCUGCAAAGGCGGCCUGGAAUCCACAGGAGGCUCUGGCACCAGCACUUGUUUUCCCAGUGAGUGGUUGGUCCAGUGCCUGAGAGACGAAGGGAAAGCAAAACUGCUUCCCAUUGGGGACAUGCCUGAGGACGUUGCCUCUAACCUGACUCUCCAUUGGCCCACACGCCUGUGUCUCUGUCACUUGCUUCCCUGGAGAAAGGAGCCAUGGACCUCCUCUUGUAAACUGUGAAGCUGGGGCUCCGCCAGCCCUGGAAGUGGGCCUACUUAGCAGCUCUUCUUUUUCUCAUUUACAAACCACCUCACCACCAGCCUGGGGUUUUGGCAGCUGAUUCGUGGGCGUGAUGAGCAAAUCGAGGCUCCAAGAGAAUAAGGAAGGGCCCAAGGUCUCUUAAAUGGGAAAGCCCAGUCUGAAUGUCAGAUUCCCAGGCUCAAGGUCUUCACCAAAGCACAUACGGAGGGGCCACAGACGAUCCAUUUUACCCUGAGCAAGUCAUCUCACUUAUGAGAUGAACUAAGAUUUCUCUUGCAAGUUGUUGUGAGCACCUGCUGAGUUGAGGUCUGGACUCUACUUACCUCUGAAAGGAAGACAAGAAGAAAACAUUCAGUAAUGAAACCAAGGAAGAAAGCUGUGCACAUGUACAUCUAAUAGGUCGUUCAUUUGCUGCUGCACAGAACUAUCGCAAUAUGACUUAAAUGAGGGGUCAUUCAGAAAACCAACAGCAGAUUCGGGCGCACUGAAGGCGAGAGUUAAAAGGGGACUCAAGGACCAUCCAGUGGGACCUUAUGUUGUCAUGUUAUAG